UGAUGCCCUUAGAUGUUCUGGCCGCACGCGCGCUACACUGAUGAAGUCAACAAGUUCAUUUUCCUUGACCGGAAGGUUCGGGUAAUCUUUUGAAACUUCAUCGUGCUGGGGAUAGAGCAUUGCAAUUAUUGCUCUUCAACGAGGAAUCCCUAGUAAGCGUGAGUCAUCAGCUCGCGUUGAUUACGUCCCUGCCCUUUGUACACACCGCCCGUCGCUACUACCGAUUGAAUGGCUUAGUGAGACCCUCGGAUUGUAGGCUAUUUCGUUGGCAACAACAAAUGGCUCGCGAGAAGUUGGUCAAACUUGGUCAUUUAGAGGAAGUAAAAGUCGUAACAAGGUUUCCGUAGGUGAACCUGCGGAAGGAUCAUUAA
rnacentral:rRNA from 1 species